rnacentral:rRNA from 1 species
GCUGGCGGCGUGCCUAAUACAUGCAAGUCGAGCGAAUGGAUUAAGAGCUUGCUCUUAUGAAGUUAGCGGCGGACGGGUGAGUAACACGUGGGUAACCUGCCCAUAAGACUGGGAUAACUCCGGGAAACCGGGGCUAAUACCGGAUAACAUUUUGAACCGCAUGGUUCGAAAUUGAAAGGCGGCUUCGGCUGUCACUUAUGGAUGGACCCGCGUCGCAUUAGCUAGUUGGUGAGGUAACGGCUCACCAAGGCAACGAUGCGUAGCCGACCUGAGAGGGUGAUCGGCCACACUGGGACUGAGACACGGCCCAGACUCCUACGGGAGGCAGCAGUAGGGAAUCUUCCGCAAUGGACGAAAGUCUGACGGAGCAACGCCGCGUGAGUGAUGAAGGCUUUCGGGUCGUAAAACUCUGUUGUUAGGGAAGAACAAGUGCUAGUUGAAUAAGCUGGCACCUUGACGGUACCUAACCAGAAAGCCACGGCUAACUACGUGCCAGCAGCCGCGGUAAUACGUAGGUGGCAAGCGUUAUCCGGAAUUAUUGGGCGUAAAGCGCGCGCAGGUGGUUUCUUAAGUCUGAUGUGAAAGCCCACGGCUCAACCGUGGAAGGGUCAUUGGAAACUGGGAGACUUGAGUGCAGAAAAAGGAAAGUGGAAUUCAUGGUGUAGCGGUGAAAUGCGUAAAAGAUAUGGAGGAACACCAGUGGCGAAGGCGACUUUCUGGUCUGUAACUGACACUGAGGCGCGAAGCGUGGGGAGCAACAGGAUUA